AUCUGUUCUGUUCACCAUUAUAACCCAGCAGCCAAACACAUAGUGGGUACUCAGUGAAUAUUUGUUGAGUGAAGAAAUAUAAAACUGAUAUGGAAGGAUUCACAAUGAACCAUUAACUGCAGUUUCUUCUAGAGACUAAGAGGGCCUGGGCAGCCUGAAAUUAACAGGCAAGGAUGACUUGAUUGGCAAAAUGCUGGCCCCAGACACACUGAUGAGGACCAGUUCAGCCUUGGGAAGCAGGAUGCCAGGUAGCUGCCUGAGCUAUGGAAGGGUCUAUGCAGACAGAUGAAUGCCACAGCUGUAACUGAGGCACAGAGCAAUAAACAGUGAAGCCAAUUUCCACGGCGGCGAGAGGGGGCCCCGGAGGUGACAACAAUGAAAGGACCGUCCUUCUGACAAGUUUUAGAUUCUCAGACUGAUGGAGUGAGUGAUGGAGUGGGUUGCCAACUGUAAUUGUUCCACUCAGCGCAGAAUGGCUGUGGACAAUAUAUUCAGGCAUCCCUAAAGAAGUCUGCCCAGGGUGAAACAAAUACAUUUGAGGUUUAAAUCAGAAAGGAAGGAGAGGCUGUUUCUACAGGUGUCAUAGAAAAAUCAAUACCGAGCCACGGAUUAUUGGAUCCCACAGAACCAUGGAGACUUGGCAGUGAAAUUCCUCCAAAGGCAGACGGUAUCCCUAGGUUUGGAAGUAUAAAUCCCAUGGGAAGUCAGCUGAAGAACAUUUUAUGCUUCACUUAUCCUAUUAUGAUCCCUGUACUGUUCCUUCUCUCUACAAGAUGGAUUGAAACAACAACAAAAGUUGUCUACAAUUUUGACUCUUAAGUUUGGGUCACCUAGUUAAUACCUUGACUCUGACGAUCCCCGGAGACAACAUUUUAUAAGAAAGACUAUCUAUUGGAAGGCUGUUACUCCGUUGUUAAUAAAACAGUAGGGAAAAUGCAACAUUCUGGGUGCUCUGACUGAUGAGGUUUAACUUUUGAUGUGGGACUACUUAAAUGAGAACAAACGACAGACAAUGACAUAUUUUGAAGCUUUCCAAAGUCAAAAUGGAAAAUAAAGAUUUCAUAAGUGGCAGCCUUUGUGUUUAUUGUUUUCAUAAUAUAAUGUCUGCAUAAGAAGAAAAAAUGUGCAAAAGACAAUGGAGAAAUGAUGGAGGAGCUGGGCAUAUGCAAAGUUCCAGGUGCCUCUAGAUACAAUAUGAGAAUGCUCAAAUUUUGGCCAUCUUUAUUUAAUGUUGGCAAUUAAAGAACAGAAACAGAGCAAUAAGACUGCACGGCUACAUUUUCCCAGUGCCACCAACUGGGAGUUAAGCUGACUAACAUUUUGAAAGCCCAGCCCAUUUACUUCACAGCAGGCAUGAUUUCCUGGAACUGGGACGUAUAAAGACUCUUCUUGACGAAGAAGGAAUGGGUGACAAGAACUUUAUAGCAGGGUAUUGCUUCCAGGGCUUGACUUCACACUACCCACCUGUGCGGCCGGCUCUCCUGGUGGGUGAUUGAUCGCACCGGCCAGCUGACUAAUAUCAUAAUUAACAAAGUUACUACUACGUCUGCAAACUUCAAUCAAAAAAUUUGCCAGAGAUAUGAUGAUAUGGUCACAAAGAUCACAAGGGACACGGAGUGUCGACUUUUGCUGAAGGUGGAGCGGCAGAGCUGUGCAGGAGAGAUGCAACACCGCGAACCUGUUCAGCCAAAGGAGGCUAAUAAUGAAGGGGCCGAGGAGGGAGGCCCGAGCGAUGAGGGUUAUCUCACAGCCUCAGAUGCUGGAUAAGUCGGAGGAGGCAGAAUCGCAUUUGGAUGACAUUCAGAACGGCCGGAGUGAUUCCUUGGAAGAGAAAAGCCUGUCUAUUCUUUCCAAGGUGCACAACUACUCCCCUGACCCUGCCCAUCCAAUGAUGAAUUAUGAGAAACUUGCCAUAGACAAAGGAUGCCCUUGGAGCCCCACCACACCUAAAGCCACGCUUUGAAGGAUCUGCCAAGCUCACUUUUAAUCAUGAGAAAGAAAUUACCCACAUGGAGUCAGCAGAAAAUGAGAAAGUAGAGCUCGUGCUGCGAAUAAUUCCAGCGAGUGCCAAGGGGCUAGUUGAGGAAUGGCUUCAUGAGGUGAAUAUCUUUAGCUUGUACUUAGGGUUUGGUUAGCGUAUAAUCAUUUUCUCUUUUAGGAGCGUGAUGACUAUCCUAUGUGCAUUUCCUAACUAAAGAGUUGCUCAGAGCAUUGUCAGGAUGUUGACAGAUUUAAUAUCAGUCUCGUCCUUGUUGUUAUUUACUAUGACUAAUUUUUCAUUUGCAAAAAUAUGCAAAAUCAAUUUAGGUGGAAAGGCUCUCCGAGCCAAUGACUGUCAAUAGCUGCAUUUGUGUAUUCGUGUGCAUCCCCGUGAGUGCAUGCCCGGUAAUUGAUGUCUCUGUGCAUAUAUGUGCCCUUGUUCUUGUCUCCUCUCUGUUGUGAACAUCGGUUGGGGGGAUUGGCCAGCCAAUGGGAUCUCAGAUGUGGUCUGAGGCUUUCAUUUGAUUUUUGGAUUAGGAAAAAAAGAAUGUGUCACAUCAUGAUUAAUGGUCAAUCUGAAUUUUCAAUUCAUAUGAAAGGAGGAGGGGGGUGCAGAUAUGAGCCCUAAUGACAAGACUAACCUUUUCCCUUUGGGUAGAGCACAAUUCAAAUUAAACAUCACUUUCAGUGUGAAAUUAAUUUGAAGUCCUCUUUCUUUUCUUUUCUUUUCUUUUUUUUUUUUUAUUUUUUAGUUUUUGGUGCCUGGCUUAACUCCUAGAUGGCUGCUUUUUCAGAGAGGGUCCCCUCCAUCCUAGCUCAGUGCCUGAGUCAUUCCCAGGAACCCACGGUUCCUCUUCCUUGGUUUUAUCUUUCUAUCGAUCAGGUCCAAGAAAAGAGUAUUUUUCUCUUUCAAGAGCUUCAUUACUCACAAGACAAGAU